GGGCCGAUAGUUUAACUGGUAAAAUUCUACCCUUGAUAAGUAGCGUCCGGGGUUCAAGUCCCCGUCGGUCCA
rnacentral:tRNA from 1 species